UACAGAGGGGGCAAGCGUUGUUCGGAAUUACUGGGCGUAAAGGGCGCGUAGGCGGCCGCCUAAGUCAGACGUGAAAUCCCUCGGCUCAACCGGGGAACUGCGUCUGAUACUGGGCGGCUUGAAUUCGGGAGAGGAAUGCGGAAUUCCAGGUGUAGCGGUGAAAUGCGUAGAUAUCGUAAGGAAGACCAGUGGCGAAGGCGAGUCUCUGGACAGUUACUGACACUGAGGCACGAAGGCCAGGGGAGCAAACGGG
rnacentral:rRNA from 1 species